rnacentral:rRNA from 1 species
CGCCUAGGGGCGCAGCAGUGAGGAAUAUUGGUCAAUGGCCGAGAGGCUGAACCAGCCAAGUCGCGUGAGGGAUGACGGCCCUACGGGUUGUAAACCUCUUUUGUCGGGGAGCAAGACCCGCCACGAGUGGCGGAGCGAGAGUACCCGAAGAAAAAGCAUCGGCUAACUCCGUGCCAGCAGCCGCGGUAAUACGGAGGAUGCGAGCGUUAUCCGGAUUUAUUGGGUUUAAAGGGUGCGCAGGCGGACCAUCAAGUCAGCGGUAAAAUCGUGGGGCCCAACCCCAUCCCGCCGUUUAAACUGGCGGG